rnacentral:rRNA from 1 species
AAUGGGUCAGCGACUUAUAUUCUGUAGCAAGGUUAACCGAAUAGGGGAGCCGAAGGGAAACCGAGUCUUAACUGGGCGUUAAGUUGCAGGGUAUAGACCCGAAACCCGGUGAUCUAGCCAUGGGCAGGUUGAAGGUUGGGUAACACUAACUGGAGGACCGAACCGACUAAUGUUGAAAAAUUAGCGGAUGACUUGUGGCUGGGGGUGAAAGGCCAAUCAAACCGGGAGAUAGCUGGUUCUCCCCGAAAGCUAUUUAGGUAGCGCCUCGUGAAUUCAUCUCCGGGGGUAGAGCACUGUUUCGGCAAGGGGGUCAUCCCGACUUACCAACCCGAUGCAAACUGCGAAUACCGGAGAAUGUUAUCACGGGAGACACACGGCGGGUGCUAACGUCCGUCGUGAAGAGGGAAACAACCCAGACCGCCAGCUAAGGUCCCAAAGUCAUGGUUAAGUGGGAAACGAUGUGGGAAGGCCCAGACAGCCAGGAUGUUGGCUUAGAAGCAGCCAUCAUUUAAAGAAAGCGUAAUAGCUCACUGGUCGAGUCGGCCUGCGCGGAAGAUGUAACGGGGCUAAACCAUGCACCGAAGCUGCGGCAGCGACACUAUGUGUUGUUGGGUAGGGGAGCGUUCUGUAAGCCUGUGAAGGUGUACUGUGAGGUAUGCUGGAGGUAUCAGAAGUGCGAAUGCUGAC